GCAGCUGACCUGAAUAAAACCUGCGUGUUGAAACACCUGAAUUUCUUUUCAUUGAGGGCAUGUGCACUGAAACAUUCUGGAUUUCAUUGGGCAUGGUGCCUGGUGGUGAUGACUGUGCAAUCUGCUACUGAAGCAAGUUACAGAGGAGAUGGCUGACCUGCGGCUGUGGCUGCUUUCCACAUAUAAAUGUUGUUGUGUGUAUCUAUUUGACCAUGGUAGGAUAUUUAAUGUAUCGAGGAAACAAGCUUUGUAGCUGCAGACUUGGUGCUGCUUUCACCACAGAUCCUUUCUUCCAAACAUAUUUUCCCUCACUUCAGCCUUGGUAUCUUUAAAAAAACCAUUUUUUAAAAAUGUAAAAAUAUACCCUACUGUCAUUCUUUUGGAAAAAGAGAACUUUAUUGUAACCAUUAUUGUUUAAGUGAAGUUUGGUGUACAGGAUGUUAAAUAACUGCUCAGCCAAAUGUCAGUGUGAACCCCUAAAUCCUUAGCAGUAAACAAAAUAAAUAUUUUUAUUUUCUCUGAA